ACACCAAGUCGUUUCUUUGCUUU
rnacentral:miRNA from 1 species